rnacentral:lncRNA from 1 species
GUUGUGUUAUGUGUUAGAAACAUGCUUGUCAACUUACCGAUAUAAAUUACAACAACCUUACUUAUAAAUGUAACGUAAUACUUUAUAGAACAACUGAAUAUUUUCAGGCCUAUAUACUUACGCAUGCUGAAUGAAACUUCGACGAACACGUGCAGUUUUGUUUAUUAACCGCUAGAGGGUUGCCAUGAGUUGCAUUUUUCCACCCAAAUGUUAACUCGAGUAUUCAAGCAAAUUCAACACAAUAUUCAAGAGAGAUUGCGGAUACUGCGUCCCUACAACCCAGGUCCCCAGACGCUGCAUCCUGUCCAGCGGAGUAACCUGAAU